GAUGAACGCUGGCGGCGUGCCUAAUACAUGCAAGUAGAACGCUGAAGGAGGAGCUUGCUCUUUCCGGAUGAGUUGCGAACGGGUGAGUAACGCGUAGGUAACCUGCCUGGUAGCGGGGGAUAACUAUUGGAAACGAUAGCUAAUACCGCAUAACAGUAGAUAUUGCAUGAUAUUUGCUUGAAAGGGGCAAUUGCUCCACUACCAGAUGGACCUGCGUUGUAUUAGCUAGUUGGUGAGGUAACGGCUCACCAAGGCGACGAUACAUAGCCGACCUGGGAGGGUGAUCGGCCACACUGGGACUGAGACACGGCCCAGACUCCUACGGGAGGCAGCAGUAGGGAAUCUUCGGCAAUGGACGGAAGUCUGACCGAGCAACGCCGCGUGAGUGAAGAAGGUUUUCGGAUCGUAAAGCUCUGUUGUAAGAGAAGAACGAGUGUGAGAGUGGAAAGUUCACACUGUGACGGUAUCUUACCAGAAAGGGACGGCUAACUACGUG
rnacentral:rRNA from 1 species